rnacentral:misc_RNA from 1 species
ACAAACUUGGUCAUUUAGAGGAAGUAAAAGUCGUAACAAGGUUUCCGUAGGUGAACCUGCGGAAGGAUCAUUAACACGUUCCAAACGUCAACAACCCGAGGACUUGUACCAUACCCAUGCGGAUACGCUAUGGUUGACAGAUGUAGUUGUGGUGGGUGAGCUUUCGGGCUCACGGCUAUGUCUGGCUGGGGCUUCGAGCCCAAAACCGUAUCUGUGUGGUCAUGAAUACCAUCACCGUUUUAACUAAUUAACCCCUUUCCAACAUCCUGUCUGAUCAUAUUCGAAUGGAGAAAUUCAUUUGGAUCGAUAUUUUAACUAAGUACAACUCUUAGCAAUGGAUAUCUUGGUUCUCGCAUCGAUGAAGAACGCAGC